CCGCUGCGAAAUCGCGUCACCUACCGCUACUGGCGGAUUCGGGAGGUGCUGAAGCACGCCAAGCACUUCCGGCGGGGGAGCGGGGUGCGGGGGAAAUUGCUGCUACAGGUUGGCGGUCAGAGCCGGGACUGGAGCCUUUGUGAAAUGCACCAAAGCCGGAAACCUGAAGAAGAGGACCAUGAGGACCCUCUGGAUUAAUCGAAUUACAGCUGCUACCCAGGAACACGGCCCGAAGUACCCAGCGUUCACUGGCAAUUUAAUUAAGUGCCAGGUGAAGCGCCACAAGAAAGUCCCAGCGAAUCUGGCCAUCUACGAACCAGAGACUUUUAAAUCUUUGGCUGCCUUGGCCAAUAGGAGGCGACAGGAAGAAUUUGCUGCUGCCUUAGGAGAUGGGAAGGCAGCAUAUUUUUCCAGAAUGGUACAGUACCGCUGA
rnacentral:lncRNA from 1 species